rnacentral:rRNA from 1 species
UACGGGAGGCAGCAGUAAGGAAUCUUAGACAAUGGGGGAAACCCUGAUCUAGCCAUGCCGCGUGUGUGAUGAAGGCCUUAGGGUCGUAAAGCACUUUCGCCAGAGAUGAUAAUGACAGUAUCUGGUAAAGAAACCCCGGCUAACUCCGUGCCAGCAGCCGCGGUAAU